CCUACGGGGGGCAGCAGUGAGGAAUAUUGGUCAAUGGACGAGAGUCUGAACCAGCCAAGUAGCGUGAAGGAUGACUGCCCUAUGGGUUGUAAACUUCUUUUAUAUGGGAAUAAAAUGUUCCACGUGUGGGAUUUUGUAUGUACCAUAUGAAUAAGGAUCGGCUAACUCCGUGCCAGCAGCCGCGGUAAUACGGGGGAUCCGGUCGUUAUCCGGAUUUAUUGGGGUUAAAGGGAGCGUAGGUGGAUUUUUAAGUCAGUUGUGAAAGUUUGCGGCUCAACCGUAAAAUUGCAGUUGAAACUGGCAGUCUUGAGUACAGUAGAGGUGGGCGGAAUGCGUGGUGUAGCGGUGAAAUGCUUAGAUAUCACGAAGAACUCCGAUUGCGAAGGCAGUUCACUGGACUGCAACUGACACUGAGGCUCGAAAGUGUGGGUAUCAAACAGGAUUAGAUACCCUUGUAGUC
rnacentral:rRNA from 1 species